rnacentral:rRNA from 1 species
GGACGAACGCUGGGGGCGUGCUUAACACAUGCAAGUCGAACGGUGAAGGGGCCUGCUUUUGUGGGUCCUGGAUGAGUGGCGAACGGGUGAGUAACACGUGAGUMACCUGCCCCCUUYUUSUGGAUAACCGCAUGAAAGUGUGGCUAAUACGGGAUAUUCUGGGUCUGUCGCAUGGUGGGCCUGGGAAAGAUUGCGCUUUUUGGUGUUUUUGGUGGGGGAUGGGCUCKCGGCCUAUCAGCUUGUUGGUGGGGUGAUGGCCUACCAAGGCGGUGACGGGUAGCCGGCCUGAGAGGGUGGACGGUCACACUGGGACUGAGACACGGCCCASACUCCUACGGGAGGCASCAGUGGGGAAUAUUGCACAAUGGGCGCAAGCCUGAUGCASCGACGCCSCGUGAGGGAUGGAGGCCUUCGGGUUGUGAACCUCUUUCGCCAGUGAARCASGCCUGCUCCUUUUUUGUGGGUGGGU